GUCCGUUCGUUGCUCACGCAAGAAAGCGAAUGAAGAAAAUGAAGGUUUUGAGAAGUAUUAAAGUAACUUGGCUUCAUCCGGGUGUCCUCCUAUUUAUUUUAAUUUAUUUUUUUGUUGUAUUGCAAGAGCAACGAAAGCCAUAGAAUGCAUGGAGGCAGAAAUGAAGGAAUAACAAUUUGUUACUGCAAAGUCGAAGCCGAGGGAAAAUGUAACUGUGUCUUACACCAGUCCAAAUAUCAGCUGCACAUGGUAGCACAUAGAAAUCAGACAGUGCAGAAGUGAAAAACCACGUAGAGGGAUUAGAAACCUCACUCUGGCUGUUUUCGUACACCACUGAGUCGGCCUCAAAUCACUUGAAGCUAUUAAAGUCAAAAUGAACAACUUUGGUUCGACUUAAAAUAAUCUGUAACCUGGUUGUAUUAAAAUGUUAUGUUUAUUAAUGCA